CUUAAAUGAUUUUGAGAUAAAGUGAAUAGUUUACAUUAAUUUGCAUUGCAAUAGACAGCACUGCUUAGGAAUAACUGCUCUGUUGAAUUUAGGAGACAAAGAUCAAGUCUGUUAUUUUAGUUCAUGGCCUUGGGGAGCUUGGAUAGGGGAUGGGCAGUGAGAAGUUUGAAGGUUUUAAUGCUUACUGUGCAGAAAUAUGAUUUUUUUUUUCUGAAAUAGAUUAGCUUUUAAGGAUGUAGUAACAUUGGUUAAGUAGUUGGUAUGUAUUUUGCCUGUGUUUACUUUUUUAAUCAUCAUGAAAACCUUAGGCAAUAGGUGCUAGAAUUAUGCCCAUUUUAUAGAUUAGAAAACUAAGACCAGAGAGUAACUUAUUCAAGGUCAAAUAGCUAAUAAAUGGCAUCACCAUUUCCAAACCUUGGAAUCUGGCUGCAGAGCCUUGCUCUCACCCACUAUACUCUACUGCUUUGAGAGAGUUAAAGUACCAAACCCAAGACACCAGGAACUGUUUUGACAUUCCUCAUGAGCAUAUACUUUUCAUCACAUUACUAUUCCAAGGUUAAAUGUAUGGAGCUGAAUCCUGUGGUCCCUAAUGCUCUAGUCCAGCUGCCUCCACCAUACUGUUGGUCUGGAAAUUACCUGGAAACAUAAGUGGGAUUUUUUUUAAUAUAUAAUCUCCAGUAUUCACCCCUUACUUUAUACUGCUGGAUGAAAAUCAGAACCCAGCUCUGCUUUUCAUUUCCACAAAUGGCUUAAGAGACCAGCACCAGGCUCAGUAGUAUAGGUUUUUCAAAAGGACACUUACAUGAACCCACCCCCAAGAACCCACCAAUACCAGCUUAAAAGGAGCAGGAUAUUUCAGUGAGGAGGCUAAUGAAGAGAUGCGAUGAGACCCAAUCUAUUCCAUUUUUUCCCUGGGGAUAUAAGGAGGCACCUAGAUCUUAAUUUCCUUUCUCAUCAUUUUGAUUCAGAGAUGAUGGCACCAGAGCUUCUUCAAACAAGCUGCGUGACCCCCAGGCCCCAAAUCGUUCUGAGCCUCGGUUUUUCACCUGUGAAAUUAGGACGGUAACACCGUCCCCACCUCACUGGAUUAUUGAGAAGACCCAUGAGUUAGCAUCCAGCCCCUGGUCUAUCUCAUCGUGGUGAGUGCUCAAAAAUGUUUGUUCCCUUCCUUGUCUGCCCACCUCUGUACCCCACCUCUGGUCUUGUGGUAGGAGAUUGACUAUAGCAGAGAGAGGGGAGGAGAGGGCCGAGCAGUGACGUCUGCUUUCCAGGUGGUGCCAUUAAGCAGACGGAAAAAGUUAGAAAGGGGAACUAUUUAUAAGGGGAAGAUAGGUUGCUUUUUAAUUGCAGAGUUUAACGUGAUGGUGGGAUAGUCAUGCUGAUGGCUGGAAACCAAGGGCUGAGAGCUGGCAACGGAGGACAGGAAGGCAGGAGUCCUGAGCUGCGAGAGACCUGGGUCGUUCAGGCCUCACGUGACUCUGAAUUCCUAGAAGAGGCUGCAGCAGCCGUGGCUAACGUGAGCAAGCAAACCCGAGACUGCUGGGCUCAGUAGUGAAGGCCCUAAAGAUGAAGCUGACACAUCCCUGACCAGACCACACGGAACCCAUGGAAAAUUAGACCUGAAGGUAACAGCACCCACGCCAGUCUCCUGGCUGCUUGGUUACAGAUUCAUCCAUUUUUGAGUUGACAAGAGCAGGGAGACUGGUGUCAGAACCCACUGCUUCUGCGUCACUGUACAUCAGAGUGUGUCUGUGGGUCCCCUGGAUGGUUAAGUUCAUGAAAAUAGGUGUAUUUUAUUCGACUAUGUAUAUCAAACAGGUUUCUUGCUGAGCUAGAGCCAAAAACAAACAAAAAAAUCAUUCUAUUCACAUUUACUGAGUUCCUCCCAGAGGCCAAGGGCCUGACAGGCACAAGGCUCUCUGUGUUUGUAGAACUGGCAUUGAAGGAGGUCAUGGGAAAAUGAGAGAGAAAGAAGUGACCAGACCAUCCGCCAGGAGCUUCUGGUGAUAAGCUGGCUGGCAAGAGGCUGAAUCUUUUUUUUUUUUUUUAACUUUUUGGCCAUACCGCGGGGCACGUGGGAUCUUAGUUCCUGAACUGGGGCCGAACCUGCGCCCCCUACAAUGGAAGGGCAGAGUCUUAACUGCUGGACCUCCAGGGAAGUCCCAAAGCUGGAUCUUGAUUACACCACUGGUCUCAGAGCUGCAGAACGUUCCACCAUGUGUGUGGAUAUAGUAGUUUAUUCAACCAGUUUCCUAUUCACGGCCACUAGGGUUGUAACUGGUCCUUUGCUGUUACAACAGUGCAGCAGUGAACACAUCUGUGCACGUUUUUCAUAUUUUGCCAGCGUGUCUUCGGGAGAGACUCCUAGGGUUACCCCCCUGCUGCGGCCCCAUCCCCAUGACUGUUCUGGUGCCCUCAGCCUGGGCAUGGGAUGCUGGAAUGCUAACUCCAGCCUCCGCACCUCCUUUCCAUUCGAUUGAUUGGCCAGGCGGUAGAAACAGCAACAGGAAGGCAAUCUCCCUUCAUUUUUGUCCCCCAGUCUCAUACCACAGCAUCUUAUUGGGGGGAACCUGAUUCAUAACCAGAACUCUAGCUGGAAAGGAAUCUGAGAAGUGCAGUUUUCCACUUUCUUGUCUCCACCGCACAGGACAGCUCGAAGAAGAGGGUUGGGUGCCAGUCACCACAUCCAGCUCCCCACUUAACCCCUUUGUUUCACAAAAGAGGAAAUUGAGGUUUGGGAGGGGUGUGUUAUUAGCUGAAGAUCACUAAACUGGUUCGUGGCUAACAGCCCGGCCAUUUCCUCCUCACUGUCUCUGCCGAUGGGAGUCCUUGUGAGUUGGAGUUUCACUGAAUCAAAUAACUUAAAAAGGCAGAAGCCACUCCAUACGCUGUGAACUUUUACUUUUCUCUGUAAAACAAAACAACCGUUCCCCAAGCCUCCUUUUGGAGGUAUUAUAAUCAUUUAGCAACUGUGAUGGUUUGACUUGUGUCCCCCUAAAUGUAUAUGUUGAAGUCCUAACCCCCAGUUCCUUAGAAUGUGACCAAUUUGGAAACCGGGUCUUUAAAGAGGUAAUUAAGUUAAAAUGAGAUCUUUAGGAUGGGCCCUAAUCCAACACACUCGUGUCCUUAUAAAAAGAGAUCUGGACACAGACAGGCAGAGGGAAGAUGAUGUGAAGACACAGGGAGAAGGUGGUUGUCUGCAAGCCAAGGAGAGAGGCCUCAGAGGAAAUCAACCCUUCCCGCACCUUGACCUUGGACUUCUAGCCUCCAUUAUAGUGAGAAAAUAAAUUUCUGUUGUCUAAG